UACGGAGGGUGCAAGCGUUGUUCGGAUUUACUGGGCGUAAAGCGCGCGCAGGUGGGUGAACAAGUCGGCAGUGAAAUCUUGAGGCUCAACCUCGAGGCUGCUCCCGAAACUGUUCGCCUAGGGACUGGUAGAGGCUGGUAGAAUUCCCGGUGUAGCGGUGGAAUGCGUAGAGAUCGGGAAGAAUACCUGUGGCGAAGGCGGCCAGCUGGGCCAGAUCCGACACUGAGGCGCGAAAGCGUGGGGAGCAAACAGG
rnacentral:rRNA from 1 species